rnacentral:rRNA from 1 species
UACGGAGGAUGCGAGCGUUAUCCGGAUUUAUUGGGUUUAAAGGGUGCGUAGGCGGACGCUUAAGUCAGCGGUAAAAUUGCGGGGCUCAACCUCGUCGAGCCGUUGAAACUGGGUGUCUUGAGUGGGCGAGAAGUACGCGGAAUGCGUGGUGUAGCGGUGAAAUGCAUAGAUAUUACGCAGAACUCCGAUUGCGAAGGCAGCGUACCGGCGCCCAACUGACGCUGAAGCACGAAGGCGUGGGUAUCGAACAGG